UUUCCGUAGGUGAACCUGCGGAAGGAUCAUUAAAAAAUGUGGUACCAUUUGUUGGUACUAAUUAAUCAUCCUACCCUUUGUGAAUUUGUUUGUAACGAAUUUUUUAAAUGGUCUUUCCCUAAGUUGGAUUGUAGUAAAAAUACAAAAGACUUAGGGGAAUGACUUUUUAAAAGACUUUUUUUUUAAAUUAAACUUUUUGUAUUCAUUUGUCUAAAAUUUAUUUUAUAAUAUAAAAACAACUUUUGACAAUGGAUCUCUUGGUUCUCGCAACGAUGAAGAACGCAGCAAAAUGCGAUAAGUAGUGUGAAUUGCAGAAUACGUGAGUCAUCGAAUCUUCGAACGCAUAUUGCACUUUUUUAGUUACUAAAAAAGUAUGUCUGUUUGAGUAUCAGUAAAAUAUUCUCACAAAAACAAUUUGUUUUUGUGGUUAUGAGUGUUUUACAACGAUAACAAGUUGUUUCACUUUAAAUUCUUUUUAAUUGAAUUUUACCAAUUCAUAAAUUAAAUUGGAUAAAAUUUUCCUUUAACGAGGAAUAACCUAAACAAUUUUAAAUUUAUGGAUUAAUAAACAUUCAUCAAAGGAAUCUAUACAACAAAUAACUUGAUCUCAAAUCAGAUAAGAGUACCCGCUGAACUUAAGCAUAUCAAUAAGCGGAGGAAAAGAAACUAACAAGGAUUCCCUUAGUAACGGCAAGUGAAGCGGGAAGAGCUCAAUUUGAAUCUUCAAGGUUUGACCUUGACGAAUUGUAGUUUAUAGAAGUGUUUCUGUUGGAGUUUUGGUAAAAGUUCUUUGAAAUAGGACAUCAUAGAGGGUGAGAAUCCCGUAUUUGACCAUGACUUUCCAGCUGUGUGAUACACUUUCAAAGAGUCGGAUUGUUUGGGAAUGCAGUCCAAAAUGGGUGGUAAAUUUCAUCUAAAGCUAAUAUUGGCGAGAGACCGAUAGCGAACAAGUACCGUGAGGGAAAGAUGAAAAGAACUUUGAAAAGAGAGUUAAACAGUACGUGAAAUUGUCAAAAGGGAAGCGUUUGACACCAGUGUUGUUUCUCGAAAAUCAAUUUAAUGAGUUCUUGUUUUUAAGUUAUUGUGACUUGUCAGCGCAUUUCUUAUUUUACUUGACUCAUUGAAUGCACUUUUCGUUUAACAAGUCAACAUCAAUUUCCUUGGUGGUAAAAAGUUUAAAGGAAGGUGGCUUGGACUUCGGUUCAAGUGUUUAUAGCCUUUUUUCUAUGCCAUCGGAGAGAUUGAGGUCGCAGCGUAGAUCCUUCGGGUUAGAUACCUUUAGUGCUAAGUUAUAGUUUUUAUAGACAACUUGUUGACUAUAAUUAACCUGUAAUUUACUCGCUUAGGCUAUUUUACCUACGCUUAGGAUGUUG
rnacentral:misc_RNA from 1 species